rnacentral:lncRNA from 1 species
UUGUGGCAAAGAAGCCUUCAACUCUGCAUCUGCUGCUGCUCUAUCUCCACAUGACAUUUUAUCACCUCAAGUACUUCCCUCACUUCUUUUGCACAUAUUGAACUUCCAUAUGAUUGUAUCAAGUAUGAAUUUUACUUCAAUUAUGCAAUCUAGAAACAUGAAAAUGUGAAUCAUAAGAUGCCACAAAUCCAAACAUGGAAAUACCUUGUUCGAGCAAAUACACAUGCCAACCAGUCCAUGGUGAACUGAAGGCACAGUCCACAGAAAAAUCUGCCAGAACGACAUGGAAAAAAAAAUAAAACGAUCUCAAAAUGCAAUUAAAAUGCAUUACAGCUACAUGGAUAUCUAAUUGGCCAAAAUAUCGAGAAAGUAAGAUGUCACCAGCGUCUUCUAUGUGAACAAAAGUUAAUUCUCAAGUGUUCUGCUAAAAUUGAUUUUUUUUCUUCUUUUUUUCCUUAGAGUAGAUUCCCACAACAUCAGAUGAAUACCAGAAACAGAAGAGUUGGACCUCAUGUUCAAGUUUUCAUUCAAAUGUAAAACCAUACUUGCGGGACUGAUUUCAACUUCCACUUCAUGAAAGACAGUAUAUUAUGAUAUCUUAAAUGGAGACUUUCUUAUAUACAUAGGAGAAGAAGAUACCAAAUCUCAUAGAGUGACUUCAGGUUCUUUCAGCUGUCACAGCAGUGAGUAGAGGAUAGUAGAGGAUCAGAUCCAUCAAUCUUAUUUGCCUUCCUGCUCCCAAAAAAUAUAAAACAAAAAUAACAAC